rnacentral:rRNA from 1 species
UACGUAGGGUCCAAGCGUUAUCCGGAAUCACUGGGCGUAAAGGGUGCGUAGGCGGCUUUGUAAGUCAGUGGUGAAAUAUGGCAGCUCAACUGUCAAGGUGCCAUUGAUACUGCAGAGCUUGAGUACAGAUGAGGUAGGCGGAAUUGACGGUGUAGCGGUGAAAUGCUCAGAUAUCGUCAAGAACACCUAUAGCGAAGGCAGCUUACUAGGCUGUAACUGACGCUGAGGCACGAAAGUGUGGGGAUCAAGCAGG